AGCAGCCGCGGUAAUUCCAGCUCCAAUAGCGUAUAUUAAAGUUGUUGCAGUUAAAAAGCUCGUAGUUGAAUUUCGGGGUCAGUAGUAUUGGUCAUGCCACUGGUAUGUACUGGUCUCACUUGAUUCCUCCUUCCUGAUGAGCCGUAAUGCCAUUAAUUUGGGUGUUGCGAGGAAUCAGGACUGUUACUUUGAAAAAAAUUAGAGUGUUUAAAGCAGGCUCACGCUUGAAUACAUUAGCAUGGAAUAAUGAAAUAGGACGUUUGAUUCUAUUUUGUUGGUUUCUAGGAUCGACGUAAUGAUUAAUAGGGAUAGUUGGGGGCAUUUAGUAUUCAAUUGUCAGAGGUGAAAUUCUUGGAUUUUAUUGAAGACUAACUACUGCGAAAGCAUUUGCCAAGGAUGUUUUCUAUUAAUUCAAGAACGAAAGUUAGGGGAUCGAAGACGAAUCAGAUACCGUCGUAGUCUUAAACCAUAAACUAAUGCCGACUAGGGAUCGGAUGAUGUUAAUUUUUAAUGUACU
rnacentral:rRNA from 1 species